CUCCAAACUGGCUGGAUCAUGUGAUAUGUAGGAAACACGACUCUAAUCUGUUGCAGUGUCCAUCUUCACCCUGGGGACAGAACAGAUGUGAUACUCAUGAUGAAGUGGUUCAUAUUAACUGCACAGAUGAUGGAAAGUCUCCACGUCCACCAGGAAACUGCUCUUUACUUCCCUCUCAGAAACACUGCUCAAAACACUGGUCUCUCAGGCUGAGUGGAGGAAACGGAAGCUGCUCUGGGAGGUUGGAGGUGUAUCAUAACUCUACGUGGGGCUCCGUUUGUGAUUAUCAGUGGAACAUCAUGAACGCUCAGGUGGUGUGCAGACAGUUG